rnacentral:rRNA from 1 species
CGAAGGGUGCAAGCGUUACUCGGAAUUACUGGGCGUAAAGCGUGCGUAGGUGGUUCGUUAAGUCUGAUGUGAAAGCCCUGGGCUCAACCUGGGAAUGGCAUUGGAUACUGGCGACCUAGAGUGCGGUAGAGGGUGGCGGAAUUCCCGGUGUAGCAGUGAAAUGCGUAGAUAUCGGGAGGAACAUCCGUGGCGAAGGCGGCCACCUGGACCAGCACUGACACUGAGGCACGAAAGCGUGGGGAGCAAACAGGAUUAGAUACCCUGGUAGUCCACGCCCUAAACGAUGCGAACUGGAUGUAGGGUGCAACUUGGCACUCAGUAUCGAAGCUAACGCGUUAAGUUCGCCGCCUGGGAAGUACGGUCGCAAGACUG